UACGGAAGGGGCAAGCGUUGUUCGGAAUUAUUGGGCGUAAAGGGCGCGUAGGCGGCUUUUCAAGUGACGGGUGAAAUCCCUCGGCUUAACCGAGGAACUGCCUGUCAGACUGGAAGGCUUGAGACCGGGAGAGGUGAGUGGAAUUCCCAGUGUAGCGGUGAAAUGCGUAGAUAUUGGGAGGAACACCAGUCGGCGAAGGCGGACUCACUGGACCGGAACUGACGCUGAGGCGCGAAAGCGUGGGGAGCAA
rnacentral:rRNA from 1 species